AAAGUUGAAAAGAACUUUGAAGAGAGAGUUCAAGAGUACGUGAAACCGUUCAGGGGUAAACCUGAGAAACCCAAAAGAUCGAAUGGGGAGAUUCAUCGUCAGCUCAUUUUGUAUAUAUAUAAGUUAUGAUGCGGGUUACUACUUGUAGUAUUGCUUGCACAUUCUUAUAUAUUUAGUUGCAAGGUGUUGUCGGCGUGCACUUCUCCCCUAGUAGGACGUCGCGACCCGUUGGGGUGUCGGUUUACGGCCCAAGUGAUAGCCUUUAAUGUAAUUUAAAAAUCAUUGAAGAUCCUUGGUGUAUUCUAACCGGCUACUCGGCGGUAUUCGUACGGUAUUUAGCCGCUAAUUUAUUAGCGUUCAUGUCCGUCACAAGCGAGGCCAAUUUUUACUGAUAGUACGGACCUAGUGCCGUCGUUGGUAUUGGCCAGCUGUUGGUUGUACGGUAAUCUAGAACUGGCUAAAAUUUAAUUACCGGUCGGCGAUGCUACUGCUUUGGGUACUUUCAGGACCCGUCUUGAAACACGGACCAAGGAGUCUAACAUGUGCGCAAGUCAUUGGGAUUUUUUAAAAAAUUAAACCUAAAGGCGUAAUGAAAGUAAAGGUUGUCCUUGCGUCAACCGAGGGAGGAUGAGUUAUGUUAAGAUAUAGCUCCGCACUCCCGGGGCGUCUCAUUCUUAUUACAAGAAGAGGCGCACCUAGAGCGUACACGUU
rnacentral:rRNA from 1 species